UACGUAGGGUGCAAGCGUUACUCGGAAUUACUGGGCGUAAAGCGUGCGCAGGCGGUUAUGCAAGACCGAUGUGAAAUCCCCGGGCUUAACCUGGGAACCGCAUUUGUGACUGCAUCGCUGGAGUGCGGCAGAGGGGGAUGGAAUUCCGCGUGAAGCAGUGAAAUGCGUAGAUAUGCGGAGGAACACCGAUGGCGAAGGCAAUCCCCUGGGCCUGCACUGACGCUCAUGCACGAAAGCGUGGGGAGCAAACAGG
rnacentral:rRNA from 1 species